rnacentral:tRNA from 1 species
GUAGCUUAGUCAGGUAGAGCGCCGGGCUUUUAACCCGGUGGCCGGGGGUUCGAAUCCCCUC